rnacentral:rRNA from 1 species
AGCAGUCGCCACGGUAAUACGGAGGGAGCUAGCGUUGUUCAGAAUUACUGGGCGUAAAGCGCGCGUAGGCGGUUACUCAAGUCAGAGGUGAAAGCCCUGGGCUCAACCUGGGAAUUGCAGUGGAUACUGGGUCACUAGAGUGUGGUAGAGGAUAGUGGAAUUUCCGGUGUAGCAGUGAAAUGCGUAGAGAUCGGAAGGAACAUCUGUGGCGAAGGCGACUAUCUGGGCCAACACUGACACUGAGGCACGAAAGCGUGGGGAGCAAACAGGAUUAGAUACCCCGGUAGUCCCUGUCUCUUAUAC